rnacentral:piRNA from 1 species
UGGGUGUUGGCUAAAUGUUUGC